rnacentral:lncRNA from 1 species
GCUAGCUUCCAGAAGCCCCCAAGGUCCCAGCAACUGACUAGCAGGACAGUUGUGUGAAUCCAUUCUCUGCCCUCAAAGGGCUUUGCUGUGGUGCAGCUGGACAGUGGGGAGCCUAGCAGUUGCACCAUAUGGGGGAGUAAGAAGUAGCAUGAGAGCCAGCAACUGUGAAGAGCCUCAGCUGGCUUCAUCCUCGCCCUCAUGCUUAUGACAAAGUUUAGGGUUUUCAGGAGCUGGAGAGAAAAUAUAAGGAGCAACUGCUCAGUGCAGUGUAAUCUGUUAUGGUUUGGAUCUGGAACAUCCCCCAAAGCCUCAUGUGGUGAAGGCUUGUAAUGUUCAGAGGUGGGGAUGUGACUGGAUCAUGAGGGCUCUAACUUUAUCAGUGAAUUAAUCCACUGAAGGAUUCAUAGCUGUAUGAAUUUAAGAUGUAGCAGAAACUGUAGCAGGUAUAGUUGGAGGGAGUGUAUCCCUGGGGGCAGGCCCGUGGGGACUGUAUCUUGUCUUUGGCUCUGUUCUUGGCUGUCAUGUGCUGAGCAGCUUUCCUCCACCGCAUCUUUCUGCCAUGAUGUUCUGCCUCACCUCAGGCCCGGAGCAAUUGACUUGGCCAACUAGGGACUGAAAACAGGAGCUGAAUAAAUCUUUCCUCCUCUAAGUUGUUUUUCUCAGGGAUUUUGUCAGAGUGACAGUUGACUAACACUGACCAUAACAGUAACAACACUUGUGUAAAUCUGUGCCACACAAACUGCUCUUUAGGAAUUAUAGUUAUCUUACUGAAUCUUCACAACAAAGGAAAAGCUCAGGUCCCACAGGCAGGAAAGGCCAAAGAAGAGUUUGAAGCCAG